GGGGCUGAUUCUGGAUUCGACGGGAUUUGCGAAACCCAAGGUGCAUGCCGAGGGGCGGUUGGCCUCGUAAAAAGCCGCAAAAAAUAGUCGCAAACGACGAAAACUACGCUUUAGCAGCUUAAUAACCUGCUUAGAGCCCUCUCUCCCUAGCCUCCGCUCUUAGGACGGGGAUCAAGAGAGGUCAAACCCAAAAGAGAUCGCGUGGAGGCCCUGCCUGGGGUUGAAGCGUUAAAACGAAUCAGGCUAGUCUGGUAGUGGCGUGUCCGUCCGCAGGUGCCAGGCGAAUGUAAAGACUGACUAAGCAUGUAGUACCGAGGAUGUAGGAAUUUCGGACGCGGGUUCAACUCCCGCCAGCUCCACCA
rnacentral:tmRNA from 1 species